AAGGUAGCAUAAUCAUUUGCCUCUUAAUUAGUGGCUAGUAUGAAUGGGUAAACAUCAGUUAUAGCUUUCUUAUAAGCCUGCAUAUAAAUUUAGAAUUUCAGUGAAAAUACUGAAAAUAAACAGAAAGACAAAAAGACCCUAUCGAGCUAUAUUUUAUAAACUAUAUAAUUUGUUGGGGCAACAAAGGACUAAUAUAAACAUCCUUAACUAAUUACCUUUAUAGACGAAAAAUAAAAAAAAUGAAAAGCUACCGUAGGGAUAACAGACUUAUUUUUUCUGAGAGCUCAAAUUGACGAAAAAGAUUAGCACCUCGAUGUUGGCUCAGGAUUACUUACACGUGCAGCAGCGUGUAAAGUAGGUUUGU
rnacentral:rRNA from 1 species